rnacentral:rRNA from 1 species
AGUGAACGCUGGCGGUAGGCCUAACACAUGCAAGUCGAACGGCAGCACAGUAAGAGCUUGCUCUGACGGGGGGCGAGUGGCGGACGGGUGAGGAAUACAUCGGAAUCUACUUUUUCGUGGGGGAUAACGGAGGGAGACUUACGCUAAUACCGCAUACGACCUACGGGUGAAAGCAGGGGAUCUUCGGACCUUGCGCGAUUGAAUGAGCCGAUGUCGGAUUAGCUAGUUGGCGGGGUAAAGGCCCACCAAGGCGACGAUCCGUAGCUGGUCUGAGAGGAUGAUCAGCCACACUGGAACUGAGACACGGUCCAGACUCCUACGGGAGGCAGCAGUGCGGAAUAUUGCGCAAUGUUGGUAAGCCUGAUCCAGCGACACUGGGCCAGUGAUGAAGUCGUUUGGGUCGUACAGAUAUUCUUUUGGGACAGAAUUGCAUUGUGUUAGUACCUCGCUGUAUGUACACUAUCCCACUAAUAAGCUCCGGCUCACUUCGUA